UACAGAGGUCUCAAGCGUUGUUCGGAUUCAUUGGGCGUAAAGGGUGCGUAGGCGGCGCGGUAAGUCGGGUGUGAAAUCUCGGAGCUUAACUCCGAAACUGCAUUCGAUACUGCCGUGCUUGAGGACUGGAGAGGGAGACGUAGGUAAUUGACGGUGUAGCGGUGAAAUGCGUAGAUAUCGUAAGGAAGACCAGUGGCGAAGGCGGGUCUCUGGACAGUUCCUGACGCUGAGGCACGAAGGUCAGGGGAGCAAACGGG
rnacentral:rRNA from 1 species